CUACGUCCCGUCCCCUUAUAAAUACAGCUCGAUCCGUGCCUUCUUCAUUCAUUGCAACAUCAUGUGAGGCAAAUAUCUUAGCCUUUCUUUCUAUAGCUUUGUAUAGGCUUUUGAUCUUCGUUCAGAUUCUGAUUCAUGCUGUAAAUUAACAGUAUAGGAGAAUCGGUAAAGCUCAGGAGGGAUAGCACCAGCCAUGUAGCACUUUAACGAUGAUCAUCAUGUUAGGGUGUGAUCAGUACUGGCGCUAUCUAUCCUGAGUUGCACGGGUUCUUCUUACUUUCCCUGUGGUAUAGCGAUUGCUAGCUGCUCCGAUGAUCAGUACUGGUCUCGAUCGGCUCCGAUCGUGAAUCGGAUAUGUGGCAUCUGGGUAUAUAUAAUACUUUAAUUUCUUUUUUAUUAUGCUCAACACUAUGUGCUUCUUCUUAAAGACAGAAACUUGGCUUUUUUUUUUUGGUUUUUUUAAUAAUCUAUGUUUGUUUUCUUCCAGCUUCUUCUUAAUUGUUUGAUACUCGUUCUCACUCCUCAUACUGUCAACCUCAUAUAUUUAGAAGUCUUGAUCUUUAAAUAUAAUUAAGAUGGGUUACUCUAGAUGGAUGUGUAUCUUCUUUAUAUAUCACGAUUAUGGGUUACAUCUGUGAUUUUUUAUGUUGGGAAAAAACGGGUUUAAUUAAUACCAUAUAUGGCACAGCUUGUUCUGGGUAUAAUUUUAGGGAAUUGGAACACUAUGGCAACAUAAAUGAUCUGGUCUUUCUAUCCACUUGAUCAUGUCCAACCACGGCUCCUUAAUUACUUUGCUGGAUUCUAAUCUUGCAUGUCUGCCAAUUUGCUGCUGGAUCUCAUUUCUCAUGCUUCUAACUCUUGCUGGUUUCCGUCAAGAGUCUGAAGUUUCCUCCAGAAGAUCCAAACUUCUUGUGCCGGGAUUUAAAUUUCUGUUUAUAUUUCUCUUGAACAAAAUUCUAGAACUUAUUCAUGAAGUAGUCUAAUAUGCUUUUCUAUUAUUUUAGCCAGUAUUUAUUAAACGUCAGUUUGAAACCCUAGGUGAGAGCGUGUCAAGUAAUGGAAGCUGAGCUAGGGUUUCAUGUUUGACUGAAAUUUUUGCAGGCUUUUUACUGGUGGGUAUUAGCCAACUGUAGAUGUCUGCUCCUUUCCAACUCCGUUCAGAACGCAUGCCAGUCCUUCCACUUUCUUUUCUACAUUUACUUGUUCAUCAGGAUCAUUAUAAUAUUGCCUAUAAAACUGAUAAAAGAGCAAAUGUGGUGUAAUUUCAAACCA